UCACUGCCCUUCUGAUUAAAUCAUAACAAAAACGUCAAACAAAAAUAUCUUCUUCUCGCAUAAACAUGAAUGAACAUACUUUUCUCAUCACUCUCCACGUCUUAUGUUUUAUUACUUCCACUCCUUGCAAAGGAUUAAGCCGUACAACAUACAGCCUGUGUUAAAUGUGAAGCUGACACAUUCGUUGUUAUACACAUCACCUGGACAAUGGCAGCUUUCAACAAAGCUAUGAUAUUGUGACCAUGUCAGUUAGCCUACCGUUCAAGAAUUCUCCAAAUGUAGUCAACCAUGGGACUUAACCCUUUUCACAUUGUUUUGAAUUCAUCAGGCAUUAUCUCGUAGAUUCAAGAUUUUUGAUGUUGUGAUUGUUUAUUUUUAGAAUUACAUUGUGGGAUAGGUGAAAGAGGCUGGACCUGGUUGGUUUGAACAGAAAGUGAGUAGAAUAUUUUGGCAGGAUAUAACCAGUUUAAAUGCCAAAGUGUUAAAUCUGAUGAUUCUGGAAGCUACAAGUUUGGUUUUACAUGAUUGUAUAGAUUAUCUGACAUCCAUUUUAGAUAAGACUGUGUAACACAAUUUUUGUCCUCGGAAAGCAACUGUUAUUUCUUAUUUGCUUACCCCUAGAAAGUAUG